CCUACGGGAGGCAGCAGUAGGGAAUCUUCCACAAUGGGCGCAAGCCUGAUGGAGCAACGCCGCGUGUGUGAUGAAGGGUUUCGGCUCGUAAAACUCUGUUGUUAAAGAAGAACAUAUCUGAGAGUAACUGUUCAGGUAUUGACGGUAUUUAACCAGAAAGCCACGGCUAACUACGUGCCAGCAGCCGCGGUAAU
rnacentral:rRNA from 1 species